CUGCAGUUUGUUUUGUUACAUGAUCUACGGCUAUUUCAUUACCAAAGCACCUGAUAACCGAUCAAAGAAGGUGAAUCGGGCUUACAGAGUCGCCGUUUAACUUCAAAUAUCUUCGUGAUCGGAAAACGCAUCAAACAACAAGUGUUUUUCUUCCAACAGCACGCUCCAUCGGUGGAGCAAGCAGCCAACGAUUUGAUCGCCAGUACGCGCCAUCAAGAAUUGAUAUUUUGCCAAACAGUACUGUGAAUAAAAAACUGCACACUUACUGUCGGAA